UGGGGAAUAUUGCACAAUGGGCGCAAGCCUGAUGCAGCCAUGCCGCGUGUAUGAAGAAGGCCUUCGGGUUGUAAAGUACUUUCAGUCGGGAGGAAGGUGGUAAGGUUAAUAACCUUAUCAAUUGACGUUACCGACAGAAGAAGCACCGGCUAACUCCGUGCCAGCAGCCGCGGUAAUACGGAGGGUGCAAGCGUUAAUCGGAAUUACUGGGCGUAAAGCGCACGCAGGCGGUUGAUUGAGUCAGAGGUGAAAUCCCCGGGCUUAACCCGGGAAUUGCAUCUGAUACUGGUCAGCUAGAGUCUUGUAGAGGGGGGUAGAAUUCCAUGUGUAGCGAUGAAAUGCGUAGAGAUGUGGAGGAAUACCGGUGGCGAAGGCGGCCCCCUGGACAAAGACUGACGCUCAGGUGCGAAAGCGUGGGGAGCAAACAGG
rnacentral:rRNA from 1 species